rnacentral:lncRNA from 1 species
GGGAAGUAGAGUUUAGGCUAGAGAUUGGCUACACUGUGCUGAAGUAAGAUCUCAGUUCUUAAGUCCCUGCCCCUCAAGAACUUAGGCAGUGACAAAUGGGUCUUUAGGACGUGGGUAGAGUGGGGGUUCAGGUUCAGAUCUGUUCUAGGAAUUAACUGUAGAUGGUCCAGGUGGCUGUGACAGAGCUGCAGAAGAGCAUAGAGAUCAAAGUCUGGUUCAGAUGACCUGAUUCUCAGGGUUAGAGUGCCUCCUGGCACAGAAUGAGCAGGCACUGGGCAAGAAAGCAGCUGCCUUGCAGGCCCUGGAGCAGCAGGCAGCACAGCUGCUUGAGCACAUGUGGCUGGGUGCCAUGCUUAUGUCACCUGCCGACUGCUGCCAUCUAUGGAUGCCAGCAAAGGCUCUGGGACCACCUGGGUGACUCAAUGAGACUCCAUAACGACCCAGGAAUCCCUUGAGAUUGAGAAAACAGAGAUCCCACUGAGUAUGCACUGACCCUGAGUGACCUCUGUAUGACCCCUUGAUUCCCAGUUUUGGUCAUCUGACCUUGAAAGAACAGAGAGAUCCUGUAACUCCUUGAGGCCAUCUAGUGCCCCUAAGCCUAAAGACCUUU